rnacentral:lncRNA from 1 species
CAGAUUAUGUAAUCUCUUACAUCUGUGUGCCAUAGGAUAUGGUUGUCAGUAGCCUCUCUACUUCUCUGUUGGGCAUAUGAAGACUUCAGCAUGACUUGCUCAGGAUGAACCCGGGGAGGCGUUCUGAACAAGCCGCCACAUAGGCUCCAAGGUGCCUGCUUCUGAACACUGACGGAUGGCUGAGAGCUGGCUGAGGGUAAUGAUGUUGGUCAGCUGGAGGGCUUUCAUCAGGCCCAUAAUCUGUCACUCCCUUGAUGCCUGUCUUCCUCUGGAAAGUGACAGAUGAUACAUGGAGCCAUGGUGGUAAUGUAAACCUUGGUGUGUUCUAGAAUCCCAUGCCUACUGUUCUUAUGACAAGCACUUCUUUUAUGUACAAUUUAUUUCUCUCUGUAAAGCUCUGUCUAGACAUAGCCUUAGUUUCCAGGGAUAUUCCUUAUCUUUAAUGUACUCUUUCAGGUUUGAGAAAUGAGGCAAAGAGAGGCAACAGGUCUUUCUGAAUUAGGAUCUCUUUGGAAUUCUGUGGUCCACUCUGAAUGUAUACCCCUUUUGCAGGGAUGGGAGGACCAUACCCCACCCUGCCUGUGUGAG